AUCUGGGCCAUUGGUGGCUGUUGCUGCUGUUGUACCAUGGUUAUUGUUGAAGCUGGUACGAUGUUGGCCAUAUGUGAGGUUAGGGCCUCCUGUGGUGAUGCUAGACCACGUACGGUUUCAUCAAUUGGCGGUCUAAAAUAUGAUAUAUCAUAACCAGUCUGGGGAUCAUAUGCCGAAAAGCCAGGUAAUUCAGGAGGAUCUUGCCGCUGCUGUGAUUCUGAAGGCGUAUAAGAUGGACUAUUGUCUUGAGCUAAACCAAUAUCAGCAUAAUUGUCCAAAUUCGGAGGACUUGAAGACCUAUCAGGUAAUUGAUUCUCAGACUCUGCACCUGAUGCUGAAGAAUCAGAUCCAGAAUUUCUAACUUGUUCAUCUAGUAAUUCUACCAGCUUGUUGCCAGAGGCAUCAUCACUGAAAGACUCCGGUGCAGAUACUGACAAGCUUGCAGCAGAUUCUGC
rnacentral:misc_RNA from 1 species